rnacentral:lncRNA from 1 species
GACCCCAUAGGUUCUAUUCUGACUGGUAGUGAGAUAUAUUGUGAUCUCUAUCACUAUAUCAUUGAAAACUCCUUUCAAUGGGUUGGAACGAUUCCAACUCAACUCGUUAGGGUUUAUCGAUCAUCAAGAUAAUCCCUAUGAGUCCCACCAUCCACCAGUGACACCUAGCAGCAUGUAGUGGCUAUCCAGCAGAAUGGAAUGAUGAACCUCUAGGUGCAGUUAACAUGUGAUACAGUCCUACUAUCGUGGAUCCCCACAGGACGGAGGUCAUGGACAACUCGUCAAACCCCAUCGUCUGUCAUAUGUCAAGAUUUAUUUGACUCGAGUUCGCUAAUGGAAAACUCUUUUUCCACUUUAUAUAACUGCCCUGGCCAAGGUCUUAGAACUCAGUCUAACAAAUCACAUAGGAUCACUCCUCUUCUAUCAAGGUCGAUAGAUUCCUUAUAGGUGCAUACCCUACUCCUACAGUGAACUUACUGCAGCCAAUCUACACUGCAUGGACCCAUAUGGCUAGAGACCAUUUAUGUGUGUAGUCAAACUACNNNNNNNNNNNNCUCUUAAUCCAAACUAUGACAUAAGUUUCAUAUGGCCAACAUGAGUAUUGCCUUUUCAGUUUCUUCAAAGCUCUCCUUCAAGUUGAAGGGUAUGACUCGUCUCAACUGAGUCUCCUCUCCAUGCCCCUAGUUGUAUGAUCUCCGGUAAGAUCUUAGCACCUCAAAAGGAUGAUCUUCCAUGUUUUUGAGGGCAUAAAGGAGUCAAAAAAGAAAUCAAUCAUACAACAGGACUGAGAACAAGAUAAGAUAAUUUAAUAACUCCACUGAAUUUAAAAACAAUUCCAGUGCCAUCUUCUCCCAUAUAAAUGUCGCAUUUUUUUUUUUUUGAAGUGAUAAAUAUCGCUACUCUCAUGCUGAUCUAUGCAAUUUCAUUUUUCGAACACAGAUCCAUAAAAAGCAUUGCAAUUUUUAAUCAAUAGUCCAAAUUAUGCGCAUCUGAAGUGCUUCCUAACAAUAAAAUUAAGAAGAUCCAAGUUCUACCCACUUGAGCUCGAUCUCUUCUUCUUCUUCUUCUUCUUCUUUAAGAGAAUGCUCCAAUCUCUUCAGACCAAGAUCAUAUCCAACAACACCUCGAAUAGAUCUAAAUUGUCCAAGAUCCAAACAAGCCAGAAUUGUCACAAAUAUAUCUUUGCUAACCAAUUAAUAUUUAUCAUUUCUGAGCUGACAAUCAACAAUACACUCACAAAGCAAGCACCUCUACAGCUUAAACAAACCUUAAAAAAGUUCAUGUGACACUGCCCACAUCUUCUUAACUCCUUUUUAUCAAGCUCCUAAACCAGAAAACAAGGAAAGGCGUACAUACUAAACCCCCUUUACAACCUUAAAUCCCUUACAAAAUCUAUUUUCAUCAACAAUAGUACAAUUAAGAAAUAAAGAAAGGCAUCCACAUCCCAACUUCAAGCCAAGACCAACAACUUGACCGAGCGAGACUUGUUCACCGCCGGGGACCGGAGAUGGAGGAGCAGUCACACGUGGUGUCGCUCUCGACCUCUCGCUUGUGGAAACUCCGGUGGCAGUUGCAGGCGGCGCAGCGGAGGGCAGCGCUCGUCCCUUCCUCCCCCGACGCCAUGAACUCGCGGCAGCCGUCCACCGCAUACCCACCGAUGCUGGCAGCGUGGUUCUUCCUGCACUCUCUGUACCUCACCACCUUCUCUUUCUUCACCGAAGAGCCAUUGGAGGAGGCCUUCUUGGGAUCCUGUAGGGGCCCCAUGCUGCUCUCUCUUCAGCUGCCGCUGCUGCUGCUGGCGGCUUUUUGCUGCUCACCACCAGUGAGGUGGAUGGAAGCUAGAGAAAGGAGUUGGUUGCGAAGGAGAGGAAGAGGUGGGGGAGAGGAUGGAAGGAGCUCGAUAUCAACACGUCUUGUGGUGAAUUUAUAUGGAAAUGGUGAGGCCAAGAUGUGGGUUGGCGUGGUGGGUUUGCUUUUUGUUGAAUAAUGCAAACAGUCUCCUUUUCCUCUCUUUUAACUUCUCGGGGUGGUUUGGAUAACUCGGAUUCGUACCUUCAUUUCUCGCGGUAUGUUAAAAAUCACUGGCACCUAACAUGCUCUGCGUAACGUUGCUUUCAUGUUUGUUUAUGUUCAGUCAAUGACAUAGAACAUGUAGAUGCAGUUUGGAUUGUGCGGUGCGAAGUAUUAGUUAAUCAAGAUAAUAAGACCUCUAGUUUGUUGUAUAGAUUUAUUUUCCAAUAAAACUUCAAAAUCUUGGUUAGAAUUAAUUGAUGAAAAUUUUUGUUUUUACUGCUACCCUCCCCAUUCUUGUCUCAGUCCUUACAAUGUCUAGAUUAUCGGAAGAUGAAUUGCGACAGUGCAUGUAUUUCAUACACGUAGAUAAGCAUGCAACUCACAAAUUUCUUUUGAUUACAAGGAAGCUUAUAUACAUAGCAGAAUAUUAAAGCAGAGCAUAUUAAUUAGGAUUUUUCUAUGGCAUUCUUUAUAUUAUUUUAUAAAAAAUGAUGGGAAACAUCUUGGUCGUCCAAUAAGUGAGGGUAUUUAAUAAAUUUUGCUAUCAACAGGCAAAGUAGCAGGUUAAAUACAAGUUACCAACUUCCCUUUUUUUUUUAUUUUUUCUGAAAAGAAAUAUUAUUUUAAUAAAUUAUUUUCUGACUCGGCUGAACCAAGUCAGAUCUAAAUCUGGCUCAUCCUAGUUUUUCUUUUUUUUAAUAUUUUCAAAUAAAAUAUUUUAAUAAUUAUUUUUUAUUUUUUAUUUUUUUUACUGAAAUGAAUACAUUCAAAAAAAAUAAAAAAUAACAAAUUUCAAAAAGCAUCGUCGUCCUCUCUUGCCUGAUCUCCAUCCACCUCCACACUGUGAUAUUCUUCUCUUGUCCGAUCUCGAUCGGCCGCCCUCUUCAUCCGUCUUCAUGCCGUCGUCUUCUUCUCCCUCCAUUCGUCCGCCUGUCCUUGGGAAGAUUCUGGCAGCCGACAGUGGAAUCAAAGGAGUUCUCGUGGGACGACAAGCCUUCUCUUCUCCAGUCGACGUCGCAGUAGAUAGAGAGUGGACUGGAGGAGGGUAGGGGGAAAGCCUCGGGUUGAGCGCCAAUUAGAAGAGGCCACGGAUGCUGCCAGCGAGCACCAAUCAGGAGAGGCCACGCACUCCUGCUCGUCAGUCGCCGGAGGCCUUCAUGAUGAUUGAGGUGUCGGAGUAUUGAGAUUUGAGAGGGGAGAACCAGCUUCCAAAAAGCCCAUAAAUUUUAAAUUAUUUACCGCACCAGCGAUCCUUCUUCUUACUCCAAAUCACCCAUGCAAUUCGAGUUAUUUACAGCACUAGGCCACAUACAUCACUGACUAAAAAGCCAACGAUCAAAAAGACUAAAAAGGCCUUUGGAGUACUAUAGUAACUCCCUAUUAUUUAUCAUGGACAGAUGAUUAUCUCAAACAAUAUAUCUGCACCACAUUUUGAUGAUUACAGUAAUAGACAUGGUCAGUUUCUCAUAAUGACAUAGGCACAUACUUGCAAGCUUAUUUAUGUUCUGAUGUUAGAAAAAAAAAGAGAGCUUAUUAUCUUGAAGUUGUUUCAUAGCAUUUUGCUGGAGAAUGACGAAAAGAUAGAAUCUUGAUACUGCAGCUGGACAUAUAGGAAGUAUCGAAAUGCUCCAAAAAAAUAUAUCAUCUCCAUAAUGGUGAGUUGCUAGCGUUUAUGCCUCUUUUUUAGAGCCUUACCAAUUUAUUUGAGCAUCGAGUUGGGGGAGCUAGGGGGAAGCAAAAUAUGAUGUUAAUAUUACUAGGCUAAAGAUACAUAAAAUAAACAAGUAAACAAGCAGGAUACAAAAAUGGAAAGGAGCAAGUAAGGAAGAAAUUAAAGAAAGAACAGUAAAUUUACAGGCUUAGUGAGUUAGCAUGCCUAGUUAGCAAAGUUAAAAGGAGACAAAAAGAGUAAAAAGUAAACAAGUUUGUUGAGUUAAUAGGAUAGUAAUGUUCACAAGCAAGCAAAAUAAGAAAAAGUAAAUGAUAAAAAAAAAGAAAGAUAAGAAAAGAGAAGAAGGGGGGGGGGGGGGGGGGAAGAGAGAGAGANNNNNNNNNNNNNNNNNNNNGGGGGGGGAGGAGAGAGAAGGCAGGGAUAAGAUAUAAAAGCCUUUCCAGAGAAGAUCUCCCAUAAGGUUUGCAAGAAGUCCAAGCCUUAAGGCUAGAGGUCUCCCUCCUAAUCUCUAACUAAAUAGACCUUGUCUUCUGAUUGAUUAGUAUUUUCUUCUUGUUGGGUGAGCUGGGAUCUUUACGUUUAUAUGAGGGAGUGGAGAAAUCGGGUGUAUUAAAGCUCCAAGAUUUGGAAUGGUUUAAAGCUAGGAUUUUUAGAGAAAAGAUGCUUAUGGACUGAUGAAUGUGAGAAGGACCAGGAGAUACGUACAUAGCUACAAUCUUGAGCUGACAUCCAAUAUAUUUAUUUUACAAUAUACAUAGUAGGGAGUUAUCAACAAUCAAGCUCAAUAAAUCAAAUUUAGAAACCAAGUUUACUAUUCAGUGGAUCCAUUUUCAGCUUUUAUGCAUGAGAAUUCAUGCAGGUAGGGAUGGCAAACAUGGGUCGGAUAGCUCAUUGCCUAUAUUGGCUCUGCACUUGCUUCUUCGAAGCAGGUUUGGAAGGAAAAAUUAAUUAGACAGAUCAAAUUAGCCAAAGCUACAAAAAUUAAUUUUUUGUAUACAAAUCAUAUUUUAAUCUCAAGGAAAAGAUUUGUGAAAAAUAAGAUAUACCUAGAACAGAUUUAGGAUGGAUUUCAUCAUUAUCUGUGCCCGUUCUGGAUCUAUUACAGGUCGAGUCAACUCUGCUUUAUUAGAAUCGGAUCGAAUUGGAUAUCCAUUUGGAUGAGUAAAGUGUCACCCCUAUCUGUCUGUCGGCUUUAAAUCCUUAUUUCAAGAUUUAUAUAAUCACAAGCCAUCAAUCUCGUUAGUAGGCAAAUAAAAAACGGCAGUAAACCACGCGUCGGGGCAUCGUACGACUAGAGCCGUUGGAAAGUCAUGUCUCAUGUGGGGUGCAUGUGAACGUAUUUAUUUAAUCAUUGCAACUGGCAUGAAUAACCAAUCAUUGGUCAAGCUAUAUUACCUUCUAACGCCAAGCGAUGCCAUUUCUCUAAUUGCUUUAAUUUUCUCGCAUAAAAUGAUCUUGAUGUUAAUAUUUAUUGAUGGAUGAAGUCUGAAUGCAACAUCUAACGGCCUCACUCUACAAUAGAAAACUAAAGCCCAUCCUGAUUGGGUUUUGAUCGGUUGCCAAAUUUAAUUAUGUACCAAACAUCUUUUUUCUCUGUGCCCUUAUUUUGUUAUGUGGAAAGUAAUUUGAAUAGCACCUACAAUGAUUUACCGAAAAAAUAAAUUAAGUUUGCUCUGUGCAAUUAUUUUAAACCACACCUUUUAAACUUUUUUUUUUUACCCUUACACAAGCACGAGGGUUUAGUGAAUUUUCUUUAAAAUGCUCUCUUAUUUUCCAAAAACACUUUCUUUAAAAUGCUCCCUUCUAAUAAUAGUUCAUCGCCCGCAUGAAGAACCCUCAAAAUAAUCUAACCAAGUUCUUGAUAUCUAAUUAUAAAUAAAAAGAGAAUAUCUUAAAAUAACUCUGAUUUUAAAGAAAAUACUUUUAUAUAUGUAUCCAAAACCGUAAUGCUAUUGUGAGAUACAUCACCCCUAUAACAUGCAAUAUGAACAUGUUUUUGAGAGAUGCCUGACCAGCAACAACACAUUUUGACACGAUAAUCCGUUCUCUAGAGGGAGAUAAAUCCAAACUCCUUCGUCCAAAUUUUGGGACACUUUCAUCACGAUUAGCUUCUACUCAAGAAAGAAAAGCUCGCCCAUGGUCUAGGUCCUAUUCGAUUCUAUCGGAUUCUUUUCGACCAUCCUCAAUAAGAGGCUCACGUAACUAAUGAAAAUGGUACUUGUUGCUGGAAAUUGGACCUGGGGGUGACCACUGGCCGAGAAGGAGGAGCUUUGAUGCUCAUGGUGCGUCGGCGGGCUACGUCCUCCGGAGAACCUGCAAAAAGCCGGUGGCUAGGACUUCCGGCGCCGGCCCUCUGAUGCUUAAGUCAGAGGGAGGCUUUAGUGGAGAAAGAGAGAUGAGUUGUAUAUCGGAGUCUAAAAAUCAGAAUCCAGAAAAAGAAUCCCCCUUUAAAGAGGAAGAAGUUCCUUUUUAUAAGAGGGAUACAGGGUUACAUGUGAUGUGACCGGACGAAUUAAAUGAGUUACCGUCAUGAUUGAGUAUGGUCAUCUGAAUUAAUGCGUUGCCAUAGAGGACAGAACUAGAGCCAAUGAGUUGUUGUGGGUGACCGGACGUAGUUGAGUGAGUCGAUGAGUUGCCGUAGAUGGCAUAAGAUUUUGAAUAAGCCGAAGAUCCGUGGAGACCAUGCGCAUUAAUUGUUGACAGUCGUAGCAGGGGUAUGGUCCCUGGUUGAUAUGUCGUGGCGUGGCCGACAAGCAAAGCAUGGUACGGUGAGACCGCUACAGGGCGUGGCCGCAGCAUGUAGACGACGAGCUCGGUCUUCUGAGCUCGAUCUUCUGGGCUUGGCCUGCAUGAGCUCGGCCUGCAUUAGCUCGGCCUGCAUGAGCUCGGUCUUCUGAGCUCGGCCUGCAUGGGCUCGGCCUGCGUGAGCUCGGUCUUUUGAGCUCGGCCUGCAUGAGCUCGACCUUCAUGAGCUUGGCCUGCAUGAGCUCGGUCUGCAUGAGCUCGGCCUUCAUGAGCCCGGCCUGCAUGAGCUCGACCUGCACGAGCUUGGCAUGCAUGAGCUCGGCCGGCAUGAGCUCAGUUUUGCUUUGUGGGGUGGUCCAUUUUUUUCCCAACAUUACCCCCCCGACUUUCGAGUUUGAGCUGCUUUUUGGCUUGAGCGAAGGAAGUAGUCUAGUCGUCGAUUGUCCUAUAAUAUAGCCAAAUGUCUAUGGAGAUGUAUGUGCUAAGUAGGGUAUACCUCAGUUGGAGCUAAGUGUCUCAGGUCGAGCUGUCCAAGCCGAGCUAAGCGGCUCUGCUCCGAGGUCGACUUCAGCGGCCUUUUUUGGCUUGUGGUCGACUCAGCAGGGUAUCCCGAGAAGGAGGAGCUCCAAUGCUUAUGGUGUGUCGGCUGGCUACGUCCUCCGGAGGACCUGCAAAAAGCCGGUGGCCGGGGCUUCCAGCGCCGGCCCUUCGAUGCUUAAGUCAGAGGGUGGCUUUACUGGAGAAAGAGAGAUGAGUUGUUUCUCGGAGUUUAAAAAUUAGAAUCCAGAAGAAGAAUCCCUUUUAAAGAGGAAGAAGUUCCCCUUUUAUAGGAGGGAUACAGGGUUACCUGUGAUGUGAGCGGACGAAUUAAAUAAGUUACCGUCAUGAUUGAGUGUGGUCAUCUGAAUUAAUGCGUUGUCGUGGAGGACGGGAUUGGAGCCAAUGAGUUGUUGUGGGUAACCGGACGUAGUUAAGUGAGUCGAUGAGUUGCCGUGGAUGGCCUGAGAUUUUGAAUAAGCCGGAGAUCCAUGGAGACCAUAUGCAUUAAUUGUUAACAGUCGUAGCAGGGUAUGAUCCCUGAUUGAUGUGUCAUGGCGUGGCCGGCAAGCAAAGCAUAGUACGGUGUGACUGCUGCAGGGCGUGACGGCAGCAUGUGGACGACGAGCUCGGUCUUCUGAGCUCGGCCUUCUGGGCUCGGCCUGCAUAAGCUCGGCUCGGCCUACAUGAGCUCGGCUCGACCUACAUAAGCUCGGUCUUUUGAGCUCGGCCUGCAUUAGUUUGGUUUUCUGAGCUCGGUUUGCAUGAGCUCGGCCUUCAUGAACUAAGUCUUGCUUUGUAAGGUGGUCCAUUUUUUUCCCAACAGUACCAUACCAUAGAUGUGAUUCUGAUACUAUUUGUUAUGGGUUCACAGUCCGAAAUUUAAAUAAUCAGAAGAGAAACCAGUUCAUGCAGCAUUUUUUCAUCAGUCAGCGGGAGACUACGCGAUCAAACACCUGGACGAAAGGGAAAACCAAUUAAGAUGCUAGCGGGAUUACCGUAAGUCCAUGUUGCCGUCUCUUUCUGCAUGUCUUGUCGCAUUCCCCUCACCGCAAAGGUGCAUGGUAACGACUCUCCUUGUCCUUAUUCAUCCAUCAAGCUAAGUUGCACGUAAGCUUCGAUACAUGUCGAUCAUCUCGUGCAACUUUAUUCAGACACGCCACCCUUUGGACUUCCCAUGCCACCUAACUAAUGGACCUUCCACGUAUAUUUAAGUGAAUCCAACAAGAUUUUUUGAGAAAGAAUCCAAGAAGAUUAGGGAAGCAAAAUCAUGUUUGAUAUGAUUCACAGGAGUAAUGGACUGUACUCCUGUUUUGGUGCAUGUAUAUGAACUGAUUGAUGGGUGUAACUUGUAGGAUUUUGAUCAUGAAAUAUAUUGGAACUGAUUGAUUGUUGAGUUGCUAAGUCUAACAUUGGUGAAUCCGACGGAAUUGUUUUUUAUUUUUUUUUUUGUUGCGCGCACACACCCUAAUGCAUUCUUUGACUCAUGCAUGUUCCCAACAAAGUUACUGGUAAAGUCCUUUGAAAGCUUCAUCAGAGAUCUACAGUUACUUGUGGCCUUCAUCAUGAGAUUAUGAAAUAGGAUAUAAGCUAUGGUAUUUCAAUGUGCUACGCUAGCUCUUGCUAGUAACUAAUACUAUUGUACUAAUUAUUGCUGAUUGUAAGAAGAGGAACCAAGAGAAUCAUAGAAAUGUGUUUGGCUAAAUAAAUUUGUCCGAGGAUUGCCUAUCAUAUUUAUCAUAAAGAUAAGGAUUAAACUAGGACAUAUCACAUGUUUUUAAUUUCUAACAUUGGUUCUAUGUCGAAAAUGGCCAUGCAUGUGUUAUUGUGUUUGGCAAAAAUAUGGUUCAAAACAUCCACACCAGUCUACAUGUUCUUCCUCUUACUGAUGAAAAUUUGAGAGCAUGACCGAACAUGAUGGGAAAGAAGAACUGUGAUUAGCUGCUCAGUGUCAGCUCACAACACAGGCUUUUAGAGCCGGAUGAGGAUUGUAGGUUUUUGCUCUUCAAUGUCUGCCAUCCCUACCCUAGACUUCCAAUAAUAGAUGACCAAAACCAGAAAGUUUCUCCACUUUGAUAUGGAUCAAGUUGGAUAUAAGAUAAAAUAGAAAAUCUAUCAACCUGAACAAAUUGGUCAAAAAUUCAGAACUACAUCUAAUCAUUUUAUUAAAUAGAUAAUCUAAUCCGACCUACAAUGGGUUGAAUCAGGUUAAAAUGGGUUAAACAGUUAAAAAAUAUCGCCACACCUAACAUGAUGCCCUAGUAAUUAAUCAUGCUUUAAGAAACUUGAAAACCCAUUAAUCCAUGAUAAGCAGUCAAAACACCUGCAGCCAUCUAGCUGCCAUUCAAUGGAUGCUGAGACUUGCGUAAACAAGCUGUGGUUCCACAUGCCAACCAUGCAAAAAUAAACCUUUCCAAACGGCAUUUGAUUGUUAUAUAAAACAGGAUAUACAUGAGGGAGUUUCAGUUUAUACCGCCAAGAAAGCUUUAAUUACUAAGAAUCGUUUUAUUUAAACAAUGGUCAACAAACUCGCUUGAACCGGCAAAUUUGAUUUCAUGAAAAACUACUUCUUCCUUAAAACAAUUUGCUAUUUAAUCACCUCUUAUUUAUCCCUUUAUUCCAACCAAAAAGAAUAUUUGUGUUUUAAAGAUCAGAGGAAAUGAAAAUUAUCUAUUCCAUAUUCCAUGGUUUUGUAUUUUAUCCCAUCUUGUAUAAAAUAAUACUCAUAUAUCACAUCUAAUUAAUAUCUUGAAAUCCUUGUUCUUCUCUGAGAUAUAGUGAAGCAAAACCAAGACACAUCCAAGAAGCCAAACAUUCCAAAACACACAAUUAAUAACAAGCCCGUUAAUGACAAAUGGAUGAUCGUAUUGUGACAACAGAAAAGUCACCAGCCGUACAAAUAAUGAACCCAUCCAUGCCUAGACCUCUCACCUCAAAGAGAACAAAAGAGGGAGAAGAGUAAUAAUAAAUAACUGGCUAAAAGAUAUGAAUAAAAAUUAGGGGCAUUUGGGCCCGCCAGGCUUGAUCUUCCAGCUGUUGUAGCAUGGCUUGUGGUGGUGCUGCGUCCGAAAAUAUUACACCUCCUGCUACACUCACUCGGAGACUCUGCAUCCAUGAAAAAAUAUUACAAAUCCCUCUAUUAAUUAAUUGGUCACACUAUCUAAGAGAAGAAAGUAAAAGAAAUUAUAACAACACAGUGAAAAACUU